rnacentral:rRNA from 1 species
AUUGAACGCUGGCGGCAGGCCUAACACAUGCAAGUCGAGCGAGCGGCGGACGGGUGAGUAAUGUAUGGGGACUGCCCGAUAGAGGGGGUUAACUACUGGAAACGGUAGCUAAUAACGCAUACUAUCGGAUAACCCAUAUGGGAUUAGCUAGUAGGUGAGGUAAUGGCUCACCUAGGCGACGAACCCUUGCUGGUCUGAGAGGAUGAUCAGCCAAAUUUGGACGGAGACACGGCCCAGACUCCGACGGAGGCAGCAGUGGGGAAUAUUGAACGUGGGGCGCAAGCCUGAUUCAGCCAAGCCCAGUGUAUGAAGAAGGCCCUAGGGUUGUAAAGUACUUUCAGUCGGGAAGCGUUACCGACAGAAGAAGGACCGGCUAACUACGUGCCAGCCGCCGCGGUAAUUC